CGGACGGGUGAGUAACGCGUGGGUAACCUACCCUGUACACACGGAUGACAUACCGAAAGGUAUGCUAAUACGGGAUAAUAUAUUUGAGAGGCAUCUCUUGAAUAUCAAAGGUGAGCCAGUACAGGAUGGACCCGCGUCUGAUUAGCUAGUUGGUAAGGUAACGGCUUACCAAGGCGACGAUCAGUAGCCGACCUGAGAGGGUGAUCGGCCACAUUGGAACUGAGACACGGUCCAA
rnacentral:rRNA from 1 species